rnacentral:rRNA from 1 species
UGCAGUCGAGCGGACAGAUGGGAGCUUGCUCCCUGAUGUUAGCGGCGGACGGGUGAGUAACACGUGGGUAACCUGCCUGUAAGACUGGGAUAACUCCGGGAAACCGGGGCUAAUACCGGAUGGUUGUUUGAACCGCAUGGUUCAGACAUAAAAGGUGGCUUCGGCUACCACUUACAGAUGGACCCGCGGCGCAUUAGCUAGUUGGUGAGGUAACGGCUCACCAAGGCGACGAUGCGUAGCCGACCUGAGAGGGUGAUCGGCCACACUGGGACUGAGACACGGCCCAGACUCCUACGGGAGGCAGCAGUAGGGAAUCUUCCGCAAUGGACGAAAGUCUGACGGAGCAACGCCGCGUGAGUGAUGAAGGUUUUCGGAUCGUAAAGCUCUGUUGUUAGGGAAGAACAAGUGCCGUUCAAAUAGGGCGGCACCUUGACGGUACCUAACCAGAAAGCCACGGCUAACUACGUGCCAGCAGCCGCGGUAAUACGUAGGUGGCAAGCGUUGUCCGGAAUUAUUGGGCGUAAAGGGCUCGCAGGCGGUUUCUUAAGUCUGAUGUGAAAGCCCCCGGCUCAACCGGGGAGGGUCAUUGGAAACUGGGGAACUUGAGUGCAGAAGAGGAGAGUGGAAUUCCACGUGUAGCGGUGAAAUGCGUAGAGAUGUGGAGGAACACCAGUGGCGAAGGCGACUCUCUGGUCUGUAACUGACGCUGAGGAGCGAAAGCGUGGGGAGCGAACAGGAUUAGAUACCCUGGUAGUCCACGCCGUAAACGAUGAGUGCUAAGUGUUAGGGGGUUUCCGCCCCUUAGUGCUGCAGCUAACGCAUUAAGCACUCCGCCUGG